rnacentral:rRNA from 1 species
CAUGCAAGUCGAACGGAGUUAUUUUGGCAGAAGCCUUCGGGUGGAUGCUGAUAUAACUUAGUGGCGAACGGGUGAGUAACACGUGAGCAACCUGCCCUUCAGAGGGGGACAACAGUUGGAAACGACUGCUAAUACCGCAUAAGACCACGGUGUGGCAUCACACAGAGGUCAAAGGAGAAAUCCGCUGAAGGAUGGGCUCGCGUCCAAUUAGCUAGAUGGUGAGGUAACGGCCCACCAUGGCGACGAUUGGUAGCCGGACUGAGAGGUUGAUCGGCCACAUUGGGACUGAGACACGGCCCAGACUCCUACGGGAGGCAGCAGUGGGGAAUAUUGCACAAUGGAGGAAACUCUGAUGCAGCGACGCCGCGUGAGGGAAGAAGGUCUUCGGAUUGUAAACCUCUGUUGUCAGGGACGAUAAUGACGGUACCUGACGAGGAAGCCACGGCUAACUACGUGCCAGCAGCCGCGGUAAAACGUAGGUGGCAAGCGUUGUCCGGAAUUACUGGGUGUAAAGGGAGCGCAGGCGGGAGAGCAAGUUGGAAGUGAAAUCUGUGGGCUCAACUCACAAAUUGCUUUCAAAACUGUUUUUCUUGAGUGGUGUAGAGGUAGACGGAAUUCCCGGUGUAGCGGUGGAAUGCGUAGAUAUCGGGAGGAACACCAGUGGCGAAGGCGGCCUACUGGGCACUAACUGACGCUGAGGCUCGAAAGCAUGGGUAGCAAACAGGAUUAGAUACCCUGGUAGUCCAUGCCGUAAACGAUGAUUACUAGGUGUGGGAGGAUUGACCCCUUCCGUGCCGCAGUUAACACAAUAAGUAAUCCACCUGGGG